CCUACGGGUGGCAGCAGUGGGGGAUAUUGCACAAUGGGCGAAACCCUGAUGCAGCGACGCCGCGUGGGUGAAGGAGGGCUUCGGCGCGUAAAGCCCUAUCGGCAGGGAAGAAGGAGGGCGGUUCCUGACGAAGAAACCCCGGCCAACUACGUGGCAGCCGCCGCGGUAAUACGUAGGGGGCAAGCGUUAUCCGGGUUUACUGGGUGUAAAGGGGUCGGUGGCGGCAACGCAAGCCAAGGGUGAAAGCCCGGGGCCGAACCCCGGGACUGCACUUGGAACUGGGCUGCUGGAGUGCAGGAGGGGCAGGCGGAAUUCCUGGUGUAGCGGGGAAAUGCGUAGAUAUCAGGAGGAACACCGGGGGCGAAGGCGGCCUGCUGGACUGCAACUGACGUUGAGGCACGAAAGCGUGGGGAGCAAACAGGAUUAGAUACCCGUGUAGUC
rnacentral:rRNA from 1 species